rnacentral:tRNA from 1 species
UGGUUUGUGGCUCAGUGGUAGAGCGCUCGCCUAGCAUGUGUGAGGCACUGGGUUCAAUCCUCAGCACCACAU